rnacentral:rRNA from 1 species
UACGAAGGGGGGCUAGCGUUGCUCGGAAUCACUGGGCGUAAAAGGGUGCGUAGGCGGGUCUUUUAAGUCAGGGGUGAAAUCCUGGAGCUCAACUCCAGAACUGCCUUUGAUACUGAGGAUCUUGAGUUCGGGAGAGGUGAGUGGAACUGCGAGUGUAGAGGUGAAAUUCGUAGAUAUUCGCAAGAACACCAGUGGCGAAGGCGGCUCACUGGCCCGAUACUGACGCUGAGGCACGAAAGCGUGGGGAGCAAACAGG